rnacentral:lncRNA from 1 species
UUGUUUUCAGUUAGGCUUGGCCACAAGAGACAAAUUGCAAGGCAUGGAGACAUUUUUCUAACACUUGAAAAUUCUAUGCAAGAGCACCAGGCAGCUCAGUCACCUUGUCACUUAUCUACUGGGUCACCUUGUUGGCAUGGGAUGCCAGCCAGGCUUGCAGCUGCUCCAUCCUCCCCUGAAUUUGUACUUCAGCUUCUCCACUCAUGGCCUGCCCUGAGGACUUCAUGGUUCAGCAUCAGAUAUGAAGACGACAGCCCUAUAGAGACUAUUUAACCAGCUUCUAAGGUGGUUAAAUAUCUUACCAGCCUAUGAUGAAGAAAGGGAAACUCACUUCAGGUCAAUAGAGAUUGUCAUUUGGGACCCCUUCAAGACAACCAAUUAUAUGACUGUCUCUAAAAUAUUGCUAUCCAGCCCCCAUUCCUCACUUUUGUCCUACUGGUAAUAAGACAUUCAUCGUGUAUCUUUCAGAAGUCCAGAUACCACAGUCUGAGUAGUUCUUUAAUCUGCUUAUCUGGUGAUUCCAUCACAAAUGGUUCAGAUACUUCCAGAGACAACUGCCUUUAGAGGAGUCAUACACAUUCUCCUUCAGCCUGGACACUAACUCAGUAAGCAGCAGCUUCAGAAUAAUGCACCUGUGAUCAGGCCAAUUGGGAUAGAGGCAUCAUCUGCCCUUAUCUUCUCAGAGCCAAAGAAACUAACUUAAUUUUCCGUAUCAGCUUCAUUUUCCCCUUUACUCAAUGCCCAGAGAUUAAUUCUUGGUUUCAGCCCCACCCCAUGAAAAGGAUGUCUAUUCAAUCAGAGAGACACAAAGAUGGCUUGUGCAAACCAAGCAAAAAAGACACAAGAGGAAUUUAUUCUGGUUAAUAAGCUGAGAGCAAACAUGUAGAGGCUAAUUGUAUGUUGGGCAAAAGGCUCCAGUGAAGAGCUGUGAGGCUUAUGUAUGGGGACUCACCAGGGGCCAGCCCAGGCUGCCCACAAGACCAUGAGCCACCCUGUGACUGAAUGAAGUGGAGAGAAGGGAAAGUAGUUAAGAAAUCAAGAAAAGUGUCUUUCAGCACCAUGGCCAGAAGUUGUGCCACAGAAUUGGAACAGGGAAACCCAGAGAGCCAGUGCUGUCCUAGUCCUAGUGCUGAAUGAUCCCAUUGGUGUCCUUAGAAGGGCUCUGACUUCAGCCCACCAGCAGCAUGUGGACUUAUAAGCUUUCUAGCAGAGUUGGAGAUCCCCAGGAAAAAGAAAUCUCUUAAAAUGAAAUGAAACUUCAAUCAACCAAGGCUUUCUAGCCUGAUGUGAGUUGUCUUUACACACAUAUACCUUUUUAACAAAG